UAAUACUGUACAGCAAUGCGGUCCUCAUGUAUAGAACAGAGGGGUCACACAAGACUGGAAGAACAGCUUAACAGCACUUUGAGAAGAGAAACCAGGUUCCAUUGAGUUUCAUUUGGAGAAGAGUUCAUCUCUGGGCUGAGACAGGCUUACUGCAGCAGCUUAAACGGCCGGUAUCAAGAUGCCCACCACCAACAGAAUCAUUUCUGACACCUGGAUGUCAGAUAAAGUAAAAAAAGCUCAAGAUCUCAGUUCGCCAUCUCCAGUUCACCUGUCCUUGUCUGACUCCUCUGUCACUCCUCAGAGAAGAUCCCAGUCUACGUCAAAAU